rnacentral:lncRNA from 1 species
GAAAACUCCCCACUCUAUAGCUAAGGCAGAACUGAGACGUCUUCUCUACUUCACUCCGCUAUGAAAUUGAUAGUUAGUGCUACGUGGGACUGCUUGUUCGUGAGGUGGAUGCUGGCUUACGACCCAGGAAAGGACUAUUCCCACUAACUAGCGAUUCGCCCCUUUAAUAGAAUUGCAUUACCCUGCUUCCUAAAACCGAUGCCUUAGCAAUAAAGUCAUAUUAGAGAAAACUGGCAAAAGGGUUAAGGCUAGACGCACCUCUUCCUGUUUCUGACUGGCUCUCAUGCUGCGAAGAAAGCAAACUUCACUAAUCCUGCUCGCUUACCAGAGAGCUAACCUAUGAGAGAGAUUCUUUGACAACAGACAGACCUAGCAAGGUAAAUACGGCUUAAAGAACGGCGCCUCUAAGAGUCACUUCUGACCUAUCUCUCUCCUUUGGGUUAACUCAGAUCUUUCUCCUUCUUUAAGCUAAACCUCCCAGGCGGCCUUUCUUUGGGAACCCAUGUUGCCUUACCUUGCAGCCCAGGUUACUGCUUACCAGAGAUUGGUUCUCUCGGCGGGUUUCUCAAGUUCCUUUCAGCUGCGGGCUAAGCUAAAUAAUAGGGUCCCGAGGAGAGGUUGAAUGGCUUCCACGAUUGGAUGAGAAGAUCAUACCUAAAUAAGCCAGAAAUUGAUCCGUCGCCGGAAGACGAUCCUACGAUUACUCUUCCAAUCCACCACGUCUGAAAUAAUCUCUAUUCUUUAUAUGACCUGGAAGGAAGAGGUCUACCUCCAUAUAGGCUAUAGGAGAGUGCAGAUGCAUUCCUUCAAUUGACUCGAUUGGUAAACUAAUCCAUGAAUGGUACGAGUACUCAGACUGUCUUACUAGUCAAUGAGUAUAUCCCUAGACUCUGACCAUCUACUAAGACCUCCAAGAACCAUUCUUCUAACCAGGCUCGGCUCCUACUAACUCAUAGGGAAGACCAAUUCACUGACCACCUGACCGAGGGUGAAAGCGUAAUUCAAUUGUUAGGCAUCAAAAGCGAGAUUAAUAUUGGAAUAUUUGAAAAGAGCAAGAAGACGGUCUAUUCCCAAACGUCUGCAAACCAAAGACUGGCCAGGAGCCGAUACUUGACUGAGAGAAAAACGAGUCCAAAUGGUAGCUGUAGCUCGUUCAACUCAUUUGAAAUUCCAAGUGGACUUCGACUAACAAAAAGAACCUAACAAUAGGGGAUGUACUAUCUUACUCUUCUUCAACACGAUAAGAUUCCAUACCAUAGCUCGGGUUAGGGAGGGAGUUUCACUCGCUACCGUUUCACUCCGGCUCCUCUCUGGCUCUGUCAACAAAGUCAGAUCUUUCUUCCCCGGCCUACCUCUCUUAGUCAAAAGUAUCGGAAUUAUUCCCUCUGCUUAACGGAAUUCGGCUCUCUUCUCUUCUGCUACUAUACGAGCGAAUACCAAACGGAGCAAGAAGCAGAGGAAGGUCAGAAGGCGGGCUGGCUUACUAAGUCUAAGGCGGAAAGCUGCCUAAUAACGCAUUAGGGCACUUUGAAAUGCGGUAUAGAGCUUACUCGGGCCGAACGAUGGAGCUGCUCUUGUUGCUAAUGGGUAAAGAUAGGAGUUCUUUUGAGUAUGCUUUCUAAGAUCAAUCAGAGGAGGAAUAGAAUGAAGGUGGUAAGGGCGGGAAGGAGUUUCCUUACUAAUAAAAGCAUAAUGAGUUAAUCGAUCAGCAACCUCAAUGUGGAUUCGCCUACUCAUUACGGAACCCUCGAUUGCUCUGAUUAGACUUCCCGAGUGCUUAUUGUUCCUGAGUCUUUCUUUUCUUUUCCAGCGGGGUAGCACAGGGAAUGAAUGAACUCCUUGGAAUCUCAGGCCUGGAUAAUCGUAUAAUCCGGGUCGAUCCUAUGGUAACCUCAAGGUAGGAAUACCAGUGNNNNNN